rnacentral:rRNA from 2 species
CACAUGACUCUCGGCAACGGAUAUCUCGGCUCUCGCAUCGAUGAAGAACGUAGCAAAAUGCGAUACCUGGUGUGAAUUGCAGAAUCCCGUGAACCAUCGAGUUUUUGAACGCAAGUUGCGCUCGAGGCCUUCUGGCUGAGGGCACGUCUGCCUGGGCGUCACGC